rnacentral:rRNA from 1 species
GGGCCCGCACAAGCGGUGGAGUAUGUGGUUUAAUUCGAUGCAACGCGAAGAACCUUACCAGGGUUUGACAUCCUGCGAAUCUCUUGGAAACAGGAGAGUGCCUUCGGGAACGCAGUGACAGGUGGUGCAUGGCUGUCGUCAGCUCGUGUCGUGAGAUGUUGGGUUAAGUCCCGCAACGAGCGCAACCCACGUCUUUAGUUGCCAGCAUUUAGUUGGGCACUCUAGAGAGACUGCCGGUGAUAAACCGGAGGAAGGUGUGGAUGACGUCAAGUCAUCAUGCCCCUUACAUCCUGGGCUACACACGUACUACAAUGGUAGGGACAACAGGUUGCCAACCCGCGAGGGUGAGCCAAUCCCAAAACCCUAUCUCAGUUCGGAUCGGAGUCUGCAACUCGACUCCGUGAAGUUGGAAUCGCUAGUAAUCGGAUAU